rnacentral:lncRNA from 1 species
GAGGACGCACGCGGCCAGCCGGGAGGCGCGCGCUUUCCCCUCCCCCGCGGCCCGGAGCGCGAGCCGCCGUGACGUCAGGGGCCGCCCGCCUGCCCCGCGCUCCAGCGGGCAGAGCGCGUGCGGCCGCCGAGCACAUGGGCCCGCGGCCCGGGCGGACUCGGGGCGGCGGGGCCCGGGGGAACGGCGAGGGGCCGCGAGCGAGGAUGAGUCCCGGCACGCCCCCGCCCCGGACCCCCUCGAGUGGAUUUCCACGCGGAAAGGAUGUUGGCGGUCCCGGUGACCUGCGGAGACACGGUUGGAGCCACCUUUCAUUAAAAAUAAUUACACGCCAGAUGCCGUUCCAAGUUCUGUGCCUCAACCAGUUAAAGAUUUUUGGAUCUUUUGCCCAGAAGGCCUGUUCAGAAGGGCAGCUGGAAUUACUACCCGGUGCCCUCAGGCAAGCCAUGGAUGACCUGACUAAGGAGAUGGUGUCUGGCCGGGGCCACCAGGUUGGGGAGAAGAGGCUGUGGACUUGCCUUCCAUGUGGUCCAGGACUUGCUGGCGAAGGACUGUGGGCUUCCAGCAAUACUUUUAACCUGGAAAGAAUAAAAGAGUUGAGGGUGGACCCCUCAGCUGCUGCUGCUGACAUCUUAUCACUUAAGCACAUAUUUUUCUGA